rnacentral:tRNA from 1 species
GGGCUCGUGGUUUAGUGGUAUAAUACUCCCUUAGCAUCUAGAGUCUCGCAGCUGCAUCGCAGCCUACAAGAUAUCGAAAUCCUGACUGGGAGUGGUCCGGGGUUCGAUUCCCCGCGAGUCCA